rnacentral:rRNA from 1 species
GACGAACGCUGGCGGCGUGCUUAACACAUGCAAGUCGAACGGAGUGGCGAACGGGUGAGUAACGCGUAAUCAACCUGCCCUUCAGAGGGGGACAACAGUUGGCAACAACUGCUCAUACCGCCUACUGAAGGAGGGGAUUGCGUCGGAUUAGCUAGUUGGAGGGGUAACGGCCUACCAAAGCGAUGAUCAGUAGCCGGUCGGGGGUGAUGAGCGGCCAAAUUGGGACUGGUACACGGCCCAGCCUACUACGGGAGGCAGCAGGGGGGGAUCUGCAGCAAAGGAGGAAAGUCUGACGGAGCAACUGCGCGGGAGUGAUGACGGCCUUCGGGUUGUAAAGCGCGGUUAAGCGGGACGCGGUACCGGAAGAGAAAGCAACGGCUAACUACGUGCCAGCCGCCGCGGUAAUAC